CCAAAGCUCCAGUUAAAUUCAGUUGCUGCCAGCGCUUACCUAUCCCGCCCGGGAGAGAACAACUAACCUGCUGAAAGCGAUCAUCUCCAAAUGAUUGAUGACGAGGACUAUAUAGUCUCCUUCCUCGCAAGUGUUUUCAGCAUUGAUCAGACCGCCCGCACGUUAAAUGAGCAGCAGUGAUGGUUCCACAUGAGCAGAAGAUCUACAUAAGAAGACAGGUUUGGAAUGACGUGAGGGAAGCCUUGCAAUUGUACAUGGGAGGCUCAAGAAGAUGGCUGUUUAUACCAUUUUAAGCGGGCAGAAAGAGCAUCUGUGGAAACGAGUGUGUUGGAGACACCUCAGCACUCAGUCUUCCACCUCCUCUUGUCUGGAAGAGCGUCUAAACAAGCUACAGCUCCUCUGGGGCAGGAAUGUAUGUAUUUAAACCCAGCUGCAGCAGAAAGUGUGAGAAAUCCACUUUCUUCUGUAACAUUUCUUGGCUGCUGGCUUACACCUCGAUGAUCAUGUAAUUAUAUAUAUUCUUUUCUUGCUACA